UAAAAUCUUAUGAUAUAUACUCAAACUAGAUAUCCCAAGUAGGAUAAAACAUUUACGUGGUGCUGUACUAAUAUAUUCUCAACCUGUAAGAAAUCUUGGUUGAAAAACACGAUGAAGAUUUUAGGUGAACCUAAAAUAAGCAAUAACUUAUGAAGAUUUUAGGUAAACCUAAAAUAAGCAAUAACUUAUGAAGGUUUACCUAUGCAAACGAAGCGUUAAUUAUGAACAAACUAAUUAAAAUAAUUCAUCUACCCUUGCGACCUCUUGUGCCCAAGAGGUGUUAAAAAAUAAAAGAAUUUUUAUACCCGUCAAUACUGAUUUGAUCUAGGUUGGCAAACUAAAAUUGAGAGUCCCUGCUAAAAGUUCAAAACUUCAGCACAUUUUCUGGUCAACCAGCUCCUUCGAUCCAAGGAAAUG
rnacentral:lncRNA from 1 species